rnacentral:rRNA from 1 species
CCUGGGCCAACACUGACGCUCAUGCACGAAAGCGUGGGGAGCAAACAGGAUUAGAUACCCUGGUAGUCCACGCCCUAAACGAUGUCAACUAGUUGUUGGGGAUUCAUUUCCUUAGUAACGUAGCUAACGCGUGAAGUUGACCGCCUGGGGAGUACGGUCGCAAGAUUAAAACUCAAAGGAAUUGACGGGGACCCGCACAAGCGGUGGAUGAUGUGGAUUAAUUCGAUGCAACGCGAAAAACCUUACCUACCCUUGACAUGGUCGGAACCCUGCUGAAAGGUGGGGGUGCUCGAAAGAGAACCGGCGCACAGGUGCUGCAUGGCUGUCGUCAGCUCGUAUCGUGAGAUGUUGGGUUAAGUCCCGCAACGAGCGCAACCCUUGUCCUUAGUUGCUACGCAAGAGCACUCUAAGGAGACUGCCGGUGACAAACCGGAGGAAGGUGGGGAUGACGUCAAGUCCUCAUGGCCCUUAUGGGUAGGGCUUCACACGUCAUACAAUGGUCGGAACAGAGGGUUGCCAAGCCGCGAGGUGGAGCCAAUCCCAGAAAACCGAUCGUAGUCCGGAUCGCAGUCUGCAACUCGACUGCGUGAAGCUGGAAUCGCUAGUAAUCGCGGAUCAGCAUGCCGCUUAAUACGUUCCCGGGUCUUGUACACACCGCCCGCCUCGCCUUGAGUGGGUUUCACCAGAAGUAGGUAGCCUAACCGCAAGGAGGGCGCAUAAU